GAUGAACGCUGGCGGCGUGCCUAAUACAUGCAAGUCGAACGGACAGACGAGGCGCUUGCUCCGCUGUCGUUAGCGGCGGGCGGGUGAAUAACGCGUGGAUAACGUACCUAUCAGAGGGGUAUCACUUCGAGACACCGGCUAUUAUCCCGGAUAAUAUAUUGAACCGCAUGGUUGAAUGGUGAAAGUCGGCUUUGCGGUCUCUUCUCGAUGGAUAUGGGCCGCAUUAGCUGGUUGGUAAGGUAAAGGCUUACCAAGGCAACGAUGCGUAGACGACUUAAGGGGGUGGUCGGCGACACUGGAACGGAGCCACGGUCCAGACUACUGAGAGACGCAGCAGUAGGGAACGUGACGCAACGGGCGAAAACCUGACGGAACAACGGCGCGUGUGAGAUGAAGGUCUUCCGAUCGGAAAAAUCUGUUACGAGUGAAAAACAAAUGUGGAAGGAGCUAAGCACGGCGUGACGGUACCUAAUCAGAAAGCCACGGCUAACUACGUG
rnacentral:rRNA from 1 species